GUGCUGCCUUUAGCAGCAGCACAUAUAUUAAAAUAAGAACAAUACAGGAUUAGCAUGGCCCCUGCACUAGGCUGAUAUGCAAAUUCAUGAAGCGUUCUGUAUUUUU